CGCAUCUGUGCAUGCAGCAUAUCAAUAAGCGGAGGAAAAGUCAACUACCUACGCUUAGGAUGUUGAAGAUGUAGCACAUCAUACACGCAUGACACACUGCAUAUCAAUAAGCGGAGGAAAAGAAACUAACAAGGAUUCCCCUAGUAACGGCGAGUGAAGCGGGAAGAGCUCAAAUUUGAAAUCUUAAAGGGUUUCCCUUUACGAAUUGUAGUUUAAAGAAGUGUUUUCUGUUGAAGUUUUGGUAAAAGUUCUUUGGAAUAGGACAUCAUAGAGGGUGAGGAUCCCGUAUUUGACCAUUACUUUCAGCUGUGUGAUACACUUUCAAAGAGUCGGAUUGUUUGGGAAUGCAGUCCAAAAUGGGUGGUAAAUUUCAUCUAAAGCUAAAUAUUGGCGAGAGACCGAUAGCGAACAAGUACCGUGAGGGAAAGAUGAAAAGAACUUUGAAAAGAGAGUUAAACAGUACGUGAAAUUGUCAAAAGGGAAGCGUUUGACACCAGUGUUGUUUUCUCGAAAAUCAAUUAAAAAGAGUUAGAUUUUGUUGUGUAUUGACCUUAACAGCUUGCAUUUCAAUUUUCUUGCUUUUUUUAAUGCACUUUUCGUUUAACAAGUCAACAUCAGUUUCUUUUGUUGUAAAAAGGUCAUUGGAAGGUGGCUUUCUUUUCGGAGAAAGUGUUUAUAGCCUUUGACUCCUGCAAUCGGAGAGACUGAGGUCUGCAGCGUAGAUCCUUCGGGGUUAGAUACAUUUGUGCUAAGUUAUAGCUUUUUAUAGACAACUUGUUGACUAUGAUUAGUCUUGUAGCUUACUCGCUUAUGCUAUUUUACCUACGCUUAGGAUGUUGAUCUGUAGUGCGUGCGC
rnacentral:rRNA from 1 species